GCCCGUUUAGCUCAGUGGUAGAGCGCGCCACUCGUAUGGUCACGUGACCUCACAUGGUGAGGUCGAUCGUUCAAUCCGGUUAGUGGGUA